rnacentral:rRNA from 1 species
AUUAAAAACCAAUGCCCUUCGGGGCUCUCUGGUGAUUCAUAAUAACUUCUCGAAUCGCACGGCCUUGCGCCGGCGAUGGUUCAUUCAAAUUUCUGCCCUAUCAACUUUCGACGGCUGGGUCUUGGCCAGCCGUGGUGACAACGGGUAACGGAGGGUUAGGGCUCGACCCCGGAGAAGGAGCCUGAGAAACGGCUACUACAUCCAAGGAAGGCAGCAGGCGCGCAAAUUACCCAAUCCCGACACGGGGAGGUAGUGACAAUAAAUACUGAUACAGGGCUCUUUCGGGUCUUGUAAUUGGAAUGAGUACAAUUUAAAUCCCUUAACGAGGAACAAUUGGAGGGCAAGUCUGGUGCCAGCAGCCGCGGUAAUUCCAGCUCCAAUAGCGUAUAUUAAAGUUGUUGAGGUUAAAAAGCUCGUAGUUGAACCUUGGGCCUAGCCGGCCGGUCCGCCUCACCGCGAGCACUGGCUCGGCUGGGUCUUUCCUUCUGGAGAACCGCAUGCCCUUCACUGGGUGUGCC